rnacentral:lncRNA from 10 species
CUACAAGUGACAUGCCACUGGGCAGAAAAUAAAUUGGAAUGAAGCCCAUGUGAAUGCAUGGAGACAAGGUGAAAAGGUAGAUGAGAAAAAAGUUGGAAAUAUUUGCAGGUACAUUUGACAGGACCAGGAGAUGUCUUGGGCAUUCAUGAUGAUGGAAGAGUGGUCAAUAAUGACUCUAUUUUCUAGCUUGUAUCAUGAGAUGAAUGGAGACCCGUAGAAGAAUAAGUUUUGUGAGUGACUGGGUCAUGUAAUAUAUUUUGGAUUUGUUAAAUGUGAACUACUUUUAAGAAACUGUGGGGAAAAACUUCGUUUUGUUUACAUCCAUGAAUCAUUUGAAGCACGAAAAAUAAUUCUCAGCUGAAGAUACAAAUAUGAGGGCCCUGGGUGUAUAACUGAAGGCACGAGUAUAAAUGGGAUUAUUUAGGGAGGGCUUAAAAGUGGAUAGAGAGUAAAUUCACAGACUAUAGGUACAAAAUAAUCACCAAUGACAAUAUAUUAUGCAGCUUAAGACCAAUUGUAUGUAUUUUCCUGACAAUGUCUUUUAGAGCCUGUGACUAGUUUUCUCCUGAAGAUGUGGUGAUCUUCUUAUCAAUUUUUAAGAGUACUUAAAUGUUUUAACAAUUAUAUUUAACUCAAAAUUAGUUUCCAACUUGUUUUCCUUUAAUUAUAAUUUAAAGUGUAUAUUUUAUGUGUACGAAUAUUAAAAAUUUAUGAAGUCAUAUCUAUUGCCUUUGUCUCUUAUUACUUUACCAAUGCUUACAAAAACUUUCCUCAUUAAUGCUUAUAUAAAUCUUCUUUUUUAUUGCAAAUUUUUCCAUUCUUCUGGUUUGUAAAAUGCCUAAAGUAAAAUGUGUAUCUGAAUUAAUUAAUCGUUAAAUAUCUUUUCAAUUUUCUCAACCCAAUAUAUUGGACAAUUCACCUCUUACUCCCAGAGUUUUAUCUCUACAUAUUAUUCCUAUGAAGCUUUUACACAUGCUGAGACUAAAUGGUCUGUUCUAUGUCAUUGAUUCUAUUUGCCUAGUUGUCUAUUUACCUUGUAGUUUUGAGGUAAUAAAUGGUCCUUUAAAC